GAAGCCAGUCGAAGAUACCAGCUGGCUGCAACUGUUUAUUAAAAACACAGCACUGUGCAAACACGAAAGUGGACGUAUACGGUGUGACGCCUGCCCGGUGCUGGAAGGUUAAUUGAUGGGGUUAGCGCAAGCGAAGCUCCUGAUCGAAGCCCCAGUAAACGGCGGCCGUAACUAUAACGGUCCUAAGGUAGCGAAAUUCCUUGUCGGGUAAGUUCCGACCUGCACGAAUGGCGUAAUGAUGGCCAGGCUGUCUCC
rnacentral:rRNA from 1 species